CCACACGCCACGGUUUUCCAAGGAUCACAAGUGCAGCCUCGUGUUCUAUAUCUUGAGCCCCUUGAACCUGAACAGCAUCCCAGACAUUGAGGCAGUUCCGGCGAGGGGGGAGCCUCAGCAGGAUUGCUGUGUGAAAAC
rnacentral:ncRNA from 3 species